rnacentral:tRNA from 1 species
GCCUUCGUAGCUCAAUUGGAUAGAGCACUAGUCUUCGGAACUAGGUGUUGGGGGUUCGAAUCCCUCCGGAGGUA